rnacentral:rRNA from 1 species
UAGGGAAUCUUCCACAAUGGGCGAAAGCCUGAUGGAGCAGCGCCGCGUGGGUGAAGAAGGUCUUCGGAUCGUAAAACCCUGUUGUUAGAGAAGAAAGUGCGUGAGAGUAACUGUUCACGUUUCGACGGUAUCUAACCAGAAAGCCACGGCUAACUACGUGCCAGCAGCCGCGGUAAUACGUAGGUGGCAAGCGUUAUCCGGAUUUAUUGGGCGUAAAGGGAACGCAGGCGGUCUUUUAAGUCUGAUGUGAAAGCCUUCGGCUUAACCGGAGUAGUGCAUUGGAAACUGGGAGACUUGAGUGCAGAAGAGGAGAGUGGAACUCCAUGUGUAGCGGUGAAAUGCGUAGAUAUAUGGAAGAACACCAGUGGCGAAAGCGGCUCUCUGGUCUGUAACUGACGCUGAGGUUCGAAAGCGUGGGUAGCAAACAGG